rnacentral:lncRNA from 1 species
UAAGAAAACUAAUGCUUAAAGAGAUUGUGUCUUGCUCAAAGUCAUACAACUAGUAAAUUUCAGGGGACUAAUCUUGAAACCCAUUUUUUCAUGAUCCAAGACCAUCAUUAUUUCUAUUAUAUUAUAUUGUCUCUAGACUUUUGUCAAGAAACUAAAAUGAAAGGAAAUCCUGACACAGAGAUCCAAUUCAAUUCUACAAAUAUUUAUUGAGUUCCUACUAUAUCCAGCCCACUAAGAUCAGUGUUAGAACUAUCAUAAAGAAAAAAAUAGUCUGUUCUUUGGAGAGUUUAUAAUGUAAUAAGGAAAAUGUGAUGCUCCAUUUACACGAACACACGUGAGGCAGAAUGUGAUAAAUGUAAACAAUUGAUUUCCCAUAAUGUUCUAAAGUGUUAGAUGAGGAAAACCACUUUCAGUUGGAUGAUAGGGAUGGGAAUACAGCUGAAUUCACUUAGGUGAAUUCAUCUUGAGUGACUUUAAGGAAGAAAGGAAUUUCAGGGCUGAGCUUUUGUGUUAAUCACAUGAAGUUGUAUUGGACACUUGGCAAAACUUAAUGCACUAUACUUAAUGUAAGUAUUGUUGUAGACUGAGAAAGGGGGAAAGUCCAGAAAAUAUACAGUUAAAUAAUCUGAGCUUUUAUGCAUUUUGUCAGGUUGGGUAUUUAGAGAUCACUCAUAUCAAAGUCUCUGAAUCAACUUUUCCCCCACCAUUGCAGUUUCACACCAAUCAUGAAGUAGAAAUAGCUCUUAAAAUUCGAAGCAAAAUGACCCAAAAUUUUCUUUCCAGACUCAUUAGGUAUUACACUCUAUUAAUCUUCACUUCUGUACUUUGUAUUUCAGAUAAUCUGACAGUCUCUCUGUUCUUCAUCCUCAUGGAGAUGAGGAACAGAGAACAAAGUGAAGCCGACCAAAUUGAAAUCAGAAUGCUGGGGUACUCUGAUGAGAAGAAACCUAUUGUUUUACAGCAUUAAUUGAAACAAAUUCAGCUCAGGGAACCAUCUAUCAAAUUCAGUUCAAAUAAGUGGAAAAAUGUCAGAUGUGAUGUGGGUCUUGUACUAGCAUUAUAUUUGAAAUGAUAAAUAACUUUGAAGCACAAUACUAGCUAUCUCUCUCAGAUAUGUUGGUGCCUUCAAAGAACCAUAAUUUCAUUUUUGUGAGCAUGUCUUCAACAGAUACAGAUCAAAACAUCUCCCCUUUUUCUCACAUGUCCUCUGUGAUAGAUACUCCUUGAAUAUCAUUUCCAAAGAAGUAAAAAUGAAGAUAAUCACACAGGACACAAUGGGAUGGUUCAUUGUUGGUGAUUAGACUACAAAAGGAAACCACUGAAGAACGUUGAAGAACAGGAGAAAAAAAUCUAUAAAUGAACUGUAAAAUAAGAAAUGAUAAUCAUUCAUGAAAUAAGUGCAAGAGAUGAAAGAUAAACAGGCAAAGGUAUUCUCUUGUAGCAUUGGGAUGUCAAGAAAAAGCCAGGAAGACCUUUACCUUCUUGGAUGAAGUUUAUGUGGUUAACUAAGAGGAAAAUAUGAGCAAGAUCUAAGAUAGCUAUUAUCAGGAAUGGAUGGGCAGUGAUCUCUAUAUUUGGACAGAACAACCAGAUACAAGGUCACAGAUCCAUUGAACUAUGAUUAAUCCUAGAAGCUUUUAUGCAAUUUAUUGUAGAAAUUCUUUUCUUGUUCUUUAAGUAUCUUGACUGUCAACAUUUUACAUAUCAUGAUAAGCUUCUUUUUCUUCUUUGGGAACAAGAAUACCUUUGCCUAAGGAAGAAGAAAAUACCAUGGAAUCUCUUUAAUAAGAUUUGUAAUCAAUAACGAGUUUGCCAAUAAGGUCCCCUCAAUUCUAUUCCCAUCAAUAAUCAAAUGAGAUAAGCUUACUAGGUCAAACUACAAAUGUAACAAGUGUAUAAAGAAUGCAUACUACAUAAAUUAUGACAUGCAACAGGAUGGGUACCCCAUUAAGUAAGUAAGUAUUCAUGUUAUUCUUCACAGGCUUCAUAGCAGGGCACUUCUGAAGAACAAUGAGCCAGACACAGAACUGAAAAAGUGGAAGGAAUUAGAUUGGCUUUCAUUUGGGAGACUACUUUAUUGCAAUGAUUACCAACUGCUCCCUGACACUUAAAUCUUUCUUUUGAGCAACAAUCUUCUCUCAGGGCUUCUAUUUUCCUAUAACACAUUUUUCAAACAAAACAGAAUUGUAGUAGCCCAAAAUAAACAUGAGAUGUGCAUAUUUAAAGAGUCUCUU